GUGGAUUAGAUACCCCGGUAGUCCACGCUGUAAACGAUGCUAACUCGUUUUUGGGUUUUCGGAUUCAGAGACUAAGCGAAAGUGAUAAGUUAGCCACCUGGGGAGUACGAACGCAAGUUUGAAACUCAAAGGAAUUGACGGGGGCCCGCACAAGCGGUGGAUUAUGUGGUUUAAUUCGAUGAUACGCGAGGAACCUUACCAAGACUUAAAUGGGAAUUGACAGAUUUAGAAAUAGAUCCUCCUUCGGGCAAUUUUCAAGGUGCUGCACGCUUGUCGACAACU
rnacentral:rRNA from 1 species